UGGGGAAUAUUGGACAAUGGGCGAAAGCCUGAUCCAGCCAUGCCGCGUGAGUGAUGAAGGCCCUAGGGUUGUAAAGCUCUUUCAGCGGGGAAGAUAAUGACGGUACCCGCAGAAGAAGCCCCGGCUAACUUCGUGCCAGCAGCCGCGGUAAUACGAAGGGGGCUAGCGUUGCUCGGAAUUACUGGGCGUAAAGCGCACGUAGGCGGAUCGUUAAGUCGGGGGUGAAAUCCUGGAGCUCAACUCCAGAACUGCCUUCGAUACUGGCGAUCUCGAGUCCGGGAGGGGUGAGUGGAACUCCGAGUGUAGAGGUGAAAGUCGUAGAUAUUCGGAAGAACACCAGUGGCGAAGGCGGCUCACUGGCCCGGUACUGACGCUGAGGUGCGAAAGCGUGGGGAGCAAACA
rnacentral:rRNA from 1 species